rnacentral:lncRNA from 1 species
UUUUCUCGCACCUAAAUAUAGACCACUUGUAUUUUAUGAAAAGCAGCCAGGAGCCAUCGAAAAUGUUAAAGUGCUCUUAGUAGAGGAGGCUUCUGAAAUCCACCUCGAAUGGUGAUGAUGAAGCAAGUUUUCUCAGACUGGCAUAUUCUUCCUAAUGCAAUAUUUGUGCCACCUAUUUAGCUGAACGGGAAGUUUGCUCUCGAUCGAAUCUACUUGUACAACGCAAGUUCGAUCAGCUUCGUUUGACUUUUAAGAUGUGAUUUCUCAGUGCAAUAUAGUGAAAAUCUCUUGACUCGGUAUGAAGAUAACAUAAGCUUUGCCGUAAAUGAAAACUCGGCCAAUAUCUAACGUUAAGAGGUUCAUCCGUUUGUAGACACGAGUCAGUCAACACGGAUUUAAAAUGGCGAAAAAAACCUUUCCGGGUAAAAUGUUUUCCACACCUUUUUGAAAUUAGAGUUUGAUUUACUUCCACACAUCUCUUGGUGUUGAUUUGACAACUCGUACUUCUGUAUCCCUCUGUCUUGGCCUUCAUGUUGACAUCUGCCCUCCAUAUUGGUUUCACACGAAAGAGGCAUGUUAAAUUUAAUCGUCAAACGGGACUUCGUCGCAUAAAUCCUAUUUGUUUGGAUAUAAAGCUGUAAAACAAAGGUUCACCUUAAAAAAUUCAAACAGUUUUUCAGCAGCAUCGAAGUGGAUCGUAAUAAUAUCAGCGAAAAAAGGAUCUCGUGUUUAAGAUACAUUCUCGUGGUGUGACUUCAGCUUGAAAAACUAAAUGAAGAAAAUUCUUUACUCAUACCUAUGGCCUUAAACAGAUUGUGUAAAUUAAUCAGUGUUCUAAAAGCAGAGGUUUCAUAUUUGUGAGUUAUUUUCUUAAAAUGAAUCAGUUAAUGGCGACGAGCUUCACCAAGAAAUGAUUUCACCAAGUUAUGGUUCACCAUUUCAGCCCAUUUCAAUCAGCUGGUUGGAUUUUGACAACUUCAUCGCAAACAGCGCAGCAAUGCUGAUAGCUCAGUUUGCACUGUCUUUUCUUAAUUAUCCCAGCAAGAUUGAAAAGGCGGGAAAACGAAGGUUAACCUAGGCUUAUUAAAGAAAGCUUUGGACUUGUCAAUUUACUGUCCGGGAGCGUUUAGCACCAGACGAUUAUGUUGAUGCUUCAGGUCGGCUGCAGAGAAGUGCGGUCAAACUAGUUGGCCUUCCAAAAACCGGAAAACGCUUUACGAACAUACUUUAAUACCAUUAACAGGCUUUGCUUUUUCCAUCAAUAAAGCUGCUAAACAGCUUAGGAGAGUAAGCAGGAGAAGUGGAUAUUGCAUCCGUGACAUAUCCCGGCUCCUCUUCUUCGGAGCAUAAUAGCCGCUAUGACGAGUGGCAUGAUGACAAUUCGUGUUUUAACUUUUGGUCGAUUCUUUGUAUAGUCCUUAUUCGUUUGGCGAUCCUUUAUUCGGUGCCAAAUUAUUUUGGGUCAUUUACGUCAAGAACAAAGAUCAAGGCGCAAAUUUUCGUGUAAAUUUGGGAUAACCAAACAAUAAUCUUCCCGCCCAACAAUUCAACGCUCUCUCGCCGAGGAAAAGAUUUCCUUUUCCUUGAAUGAUCGACCACACCACGCCUUUUCUUGAAUGCAAGAGGUGUUUCACUGUGUACAAAAAUAUCUAUGUACUUUAAUAGAAAUAACCCCAACGCAAAAUACGAAGUAAAAGUUUUUAAGGGUGUGCUUUGGAUAAUCACUUUUGUCGGCUGUUUAAUCUAUGUGGUGGCUGUCUGUCAACAAAAGAUGGUUCUGAAACUACUUUGCAAAACGCGAUUUUCAAUUAGUUUUUAAAUCUGUCGACAUGAAAUAAAUGUCUGAAUUAGCGCGGUUUUCCAAGAAAAACCUUGAAGAGGGAUUGUAUCUCAGGUAUAAAAAUCCAACGAUUCAGUAAAAAUUUGCCUUAUCCUCACUUCAGCUUUCUAACGCAGCCGAGCAGGUGGCUGUGUAUAUAUAAACUUUCUUUCUAUCUUGCCUUCUCUCCUAAAGGGACAAUAUCUUCCGUCUAGUUGUUGUUGUUGUUCAUCAAGUGUAUAUUUUUUUAGUACAUUUUCCAGCGCCAAUACCAUUCUUGGCGUAAAUAUGUUGGAAGAGAAAUUCUUCAUUGCAAAAUCGAAGAGGAUGUAAUCAAAGCGUGGUCGACACUUCACGCUAUGAAAGGUUCCCCGGUCACCUUUAUAGGCUCACUCCUUUCCUAGUUACCUUCGAUUUAUCUUGUUGUCAGACUGCUAUAACGUGCCGCAUCCCAUAGAAGUUAACUUCAAAUAAGUAAAUAAAAAACACGCGGUUCUUUUCAAGGGUAAGCGUUCACUUUUAAGUAUAGUUUUAUUCUUUUAUUCGACUGUCGAUGCCGCCAUGACUAUUAAUAUGCCGUGUGUCGGUUGUGUUGACUUAAAUUUGAAAAGGUCCUGAGUUAUAAGCUUUGACAUUUCUCUAGAGUAGCGAUCAACGCACAUUUACCGCACAAUUAAGGAGGUAGCCGAAUGGUCAGGCGAGCUUCGAUUUCUACCGGCAAAUGAAUGAUGAACCUUGCGAGAGGUGUUCGAUCGGUUUUUUGUCCCGUCGCAAAGAAGCAAAGAGCACUUUGAAACAUAGACGCAGAAUAAAUGACACCAAUGGUGUUUACAGAAAGGAAAAAACAAGAACACACUCACUGGAGUGAUCAAGAACAUCAAAUAUGGCCAAAAUAGUCUUCGUUCGUCAAUGUAGACUCUAGUAGUGGCCUCAUGGACUGGUGAUGUACGAGCGUUCUCCCCUUAACAUCAACUUGUUCGAAGGAAAAACGAAAUUGGGGACGUGGGACACUUCAGAGCUUUGCAAUCAUAGACUAAUUAUUUUGAAGUGCAGAGUUGCUCUAUUCCUUCAUACAAGUCGUAAAACUGACUCUUAAUGCCGAAUAUUCCCAUUUUAUUUGGUAUCUAGGAUAAGCCGUCUGAACGUUCUUUAUUUCAAGAGGUUGGUUAUUUGAUAGCGAUGGAAAGCGAAAAAGCUGUCCAAAAUGUCCGUAUCUGUCUGUCAGAACAGUGGCUUGAAGAAAGCGGAUGAAAGGCGACCGAAAACAAACUUAACAUACCAAAGACACCAAGCAAACGAGAAGAAAUUAUUAUAACUUUUAAAUUGCGGUUUUUUUUUACCAUUUUGUUUCUUUAAAUUUUGGCUCUCAAACUACCUCUUAUUUCGACAAAAACUUCAAGAUGUGAAACCUUGUUUUGAACCUGAGGGGCUUUGCGAUUGAGAUGAAUACUGACUGCCGUUGAAAAAGUUUACUUUUCAUCUUUGAAUCAUAGCACCGAUGUGGCGGAGGAAAAACUGUGAUAUCAGUGACUUGUUAUUGCCAUCAAGAGCCGAGGAUACAGGUCAGCUCAUCAAACAGGCGGAUGACAUUUGAUUCACACAAAAGGAUCACAAAGAAAAUGCUACGUAGCAUGCAUCUAACUCAGAGUCACAAGGGGUCUGAGAUGAAUCGAAUAAUAAAACUAAAAGCUUCUUCAGAA